rnacentral:rRNA from 1 species
GACGAACGCUGGCGGUGUGCUUAACACAUGCAAGUCGAACGGUAAGGCCCUUUCGGGGGUACACGAGUGGCGAACGGGUGAGUAACACGUGAGUAACCUGCCCUCAUCUCUGGGAUAACAGUCGGAAACGGUUGCUAAUACUGGAUAUGAGCCUGCAAGGCAUCUUGUGGGUUGGAAAGAUUUUUUGGUUGGGGAUGGACUCGCGGCCUAUCAGCUUGUUGGUGAGGUAGUGGCUCACCAAGGCUUCGACGGGUAGCCGGCCUGAGAGGGCGACCGGCCACAUUGGGACUGAGAUACGGCCCAAACUCCUACGGGAGGCAGCAGUGGGGAAUAUUGCACAAUGGGCGGAAGUCUGAUGCAGCAACGCCGCGUGCGGGAUGACGGCCUUCGGGUUGUAAACCGCUUUCAAUUGUGACGAAGCUUUUUGUGACGGUAGCAGUAGAAGAAGCACCGGCUAACUACGUG